UGUCGUCAGCUCGUGUUGUGAAAUGUUGGGUUAAGUCCCGCAACGAGCGCAACCCUUAUCCUUUGUUGCCAGCGGUCCGGCCGGGAACUCAAAGGAGACUGCCAGUGAUAAACUGGAGGAAGGUGGGGAUGACGUCAAGUCAUCAUGGCCCUUACGACCAGGGCUACACACGUGCUACAAUGGCGCAUACAAAGAGAAGCGACCUCGCGAGAGCAAGCGGACCUCAUAAAGUGCGUCGUAGUCCGGAUUGGAGUCUGCAACUCGACUCCAUGAAGUCGGAAUCGCUAGUAAUCGUGGAUCAGAAUGCCACGGUGAAUACGUUCCCGGGCCUUGUACACACCGCCCGUCACACCAUGGGAGUGGGUUGCAAAAGAAGUAGGUAGCUUAACCUUCGGGAGGGCGCUUACCACUUUGUGAUUCAUGACUGGGGUGAAGUCGUAACAAGGUAACCGUAGGG
rnacentral:rRNA from 1 species